rnacentral:rRNA from 1 species
CGCGAAACCUUUACACUGCACGCAAGUGCGAUAAGGGGACCCCAAGUGCGAGGGCAUAUAGUCCUCGCUUUUCACGACUGUAAGGCGGUCGUGGAAUAAGAGCUGGGCAAGACCGGUGCCAGCCGCCGCGGUAAUACCGGCAGCUCAAGUGAUGACCGAUAUUAUUGGGCCUAAAGCGUCCGUAGCCGGCCACGAAGGUUCAUCGGGAAAUCCGCCAGCUCAACUGGCGGGCGUCCGGUGAAAACCACGUGGCUUGGGACCGGAAGGCUCGAGGGGUACGUCCGGGGUAGGAGUGAAAUCCCGUAAUCCUGGACGGACCACCGAUGGCGAAAGCACCUCGAGAAGACGGAUCCGAC